UCACUUUCACUCAGACUUCUCUUCUCUUCUCUCUUCUAUUUUCAUUUUCUUUCUCUGGUUUUGACCUAAGGGGCUGCGUGCGGCGCCUUUCUCUCUCUCACCUCACCAAAGCUCAGAUCUUCAAUCGACCUCGGAUCUUUGAACAACAACAUCAGCGUCGCUCCUUCCUUCAUCGAUCUCUCGAUCUGUCAUCUGCCGCCAGGCACGCACAGCACAAACCCUAUCAAUUCUAAUACUUGCACACUUGAGGCAGCAGCGACAACCACCUCCCUUCCGAAGAGCGACGUUGGCGUUUUGGUUGCUCAGAUAAAAGACUUGGGAAUGAAGAAUGCAUAACUGUUAGAACAAAACAAAAACUUGACUUCCAUGGUAGGUCUAUUAUUUAUGUAGUUUUGUGUUUUAUCUGUUUACUAUGUUUACUUUUAUGAAGCUCUAAUUUGAGGUUAUAUAAUUUUGUUGUUUUAUCUGUUUCUUAUUCAGGGGCAGUAGUUCAUGAUUUUUGACAUGUUCGUUUGUUAAACUUUGAAGGCUUUUGAAGAUAAGCAAACAAUUUAUUUCUAUUUUUACUGAAAUUAUAUGUUUGGUGAUUGAUUGUUGACUGAUACAAGUGUAUUUUUGGACAGAUGAAUGCAGGUUUUU